AGACCGAUAGCGAACAAGUAGAGUGAUCGAAAGAUGAAAAGCACUUUGAAAAGAGAGUUAAACAGCACGUGAAAUUGUUGAAAGGGAAGCGUUUGCGACCAGACUCGCCCGCGGGGUUCAGCCGGCACUCGUGCCGGUGUACUUCCCCGUGGGCGGGCCAGCGUCGGUUUGGGCGGCCGGUCAAAGGCCCUCGGAAUGUAUCACCUCUCGGGGUGUCUUAUAGCCGAGGGUGCAAUGCGGCCUGCCCGGACCGAGGAACGCGCUUCGGCUCGGACGCUGGCGUAAUGGUCGUAAAUGACCCGUCUUGAAACACGGACCAAG
rnacentral:rRNA from 1 species